rnacentral:rRNA from 1 species
CCCUUAGAUGUUCUGGGCCGCACGCGCGCUACACUGACGAAUGCAACGAGCUUAUAACCUUGGCCGAAAGGUCUGGGUAAUCUCCAAAUUUCGUCGUGAUGGGGAUAGAUUAUUGCAAUUAUUAAUCUUCAACGAGGAAUGCCUAGUAAGCGCAAGUCAUCAGCUUGCGUUGAUUACGUCCCUGCCCUUUGUACACACCGCCCGUCGCACCUACCGAUUGAAUGGUCCGGUGAAAUCUCGGGACGGCGGCUUGGUCGCUUGCGUCCGACUGCUGAAACUUGAUUAAACCAUAUCAUUUAGAGGAAGGAGAAGUCGUAACA